AUGGUUUGGCUUCUGGAUGAUGUCUACGACGUGCAACACCGGUCCUACAUGAUGCGCGAGAAGGAUAAGAAGCUUGAACCUCUGAAGAUUCGGUAUCACGGGGUCUCUGGUCCUGCCAUGCCUUACAACGAGCGGUACACACCGUACAUCAAGCAGGCAGGACUACUCCCGUGGAUUCUGUUGGUCAGCCGGUCCACGCUGAAUCUGAACGCUCCAUAG
rnacentral:rRNA from 1 species